GGAAAUUCUAGGUAUUGAGAAUUCUGCGCCCUUCUCCGGCGCCCUGCGGCUCCCUGCCUUCGGCCUCGGUGUGCCGCGUAAGAGAUUAUUAAUCAGAAGCGUUCUUUUUGUGUGUGUGUCUCAAAAGGAGGAGGUUUGGCUUAUGAAUGCUGAGAGGGAUAUUUACACUGGUGCAUCCAGUAGGUAGCUGGAGUUUUUAUUGUGAUUCUGAUCGUUUUACACAGGGAAAUCAGUGUUCUGCUUUGGAGGUAGGGAGGCGGACCGCAUUGCAAACGCUAAAUUCAGAACUUCCAGUUGUUGAGUUGGUGUGCAAAAUGGAACUGGCGAUGUAUUUAAACUAACGUUUAAAAGCCAUCUCUUCAUUUAAAUGUGGGGACAUUUUGCAGUAAAAACAAAAAAAAAAUUAAAACCCCACACUUGAUCUAUAUUUUUCUCGUAAACACAAUCGGUUGGCGAAGACGAAGAAAGGUAUCCGUCAAAUAUCAAAGAGAAUGAAAGAAACAUUCCUAAAGUCCCACCUAUUGCGGAGCACAUCCUGACUCUGGGCCUUGGUCUCACUAUCUUGGGUGCCCGCCGAGGCUGGGCAGACGCCUGAGUGUUCAAGGCAAGCCUUACGUUUUUUAGCACGAGGUGGCCAAUAUCCUCUUUAAAUGUCAUGCUUUGCUAUGUCUCUACAAAACUGGCGACUUUGCGUUAAAUCUUGUAUCUGUUACACAAUUCUAAAUAAUUAUUUCUGAUCGAGACAGCAAAUUAAUCAUUCGUUCAUGCGGGAGGGGGGCGAAACACGUGUCUAAUUGGAGGUUGUGAAGUUCAGUGAGGUGAUAUUUUUAGCUUGGAAAGUCCAAAAUCAGAUACUUGGGUAUCUCUCCCCCUCCCGUCUUUUCCCCACUGCCUCCCCAUUUCACCCUUUUGCACCCGACCCUGUGGGCUCCCUGCUCCGCUCUCCCCCUUUCCUCUGUCUCCGUCUUCUUUCCCUUACCGCACCCCCCCCACCGCAGCGCCUUUCCCUUUCCUCUUCCUUCUACCCCCCCCAUUCCGCUCCCCUUCCUCUGUGUGUGUGUGUGUAUCUCUCUCGGCCUCCCCCCCCCCCCCCAUUUAUUGUCUGAUCCUAUCAGUCAAGUUAAUAUAAAAGUAGCAAGUGGGAGGCCCAGAACCUCUCUCCCGCGCGCCCAGGACACUUUGGGGAGGUGUCGGUCGCUGCCCGGUUACCGGCCCGAGUGGGGGCCCCCGAGGCAGGGCGCGCAGCUUUUUGAGGACUUGGGGUCCGCCCGGGGUUGCGGGGCUUAUUCAAAUGCCGCCCGCUGCUGCUGUGAUUCGCAGGGACUCGGCCUCCAUAUGACGCCGAAAGGAGCCUGUUUGUGUGCUGCGGCCGCCCCGUGA
rnacentral:lncRNA from 1 species